GAGCACCUUUACGGUCUCCACCCACUCCUUCUGAAGGCUUUCCCACGUGUCUACUUCCACCCAGUGCAUCUCUCCUUCAAGGACCCAUCUCCUCAGCACAGCCACGCUGGACACCAAGCUUUCAGCACACGGACUCUGAGGAAACACUCAGCUAAGCUGUAGCAGCCAUGUUCCUAUCCUCUGAUGCCUCUAGGGUAGACUGCUCUGGGAUGACAGCUGGUACCCGGCUGAGAUGACAACUGGCCUCUCGAUAUGUGACUGGCCAUCAGAAGCUAGCCAAGCACAGCCAAGAUCCUCAUUCCCACGGCAAGCCCAGGAGACAGCAGAUGCACCUGAUGUAGCUCAGCAAACCCAUGGGUUGUUCUUAGGCUCAAGUUGAAAUGAGUAUUUACUGAUGGGUGCCACUUGAGUUUUGUGAUGAAAUUUUAAUAAAGUAAUUCACAGAGCUGGGGAUAUAGGCAAGUGACAGGACACUUGCCUAAUACAUA